GACGAACGCUGGCGGCGUGCUUAACACAUGCAAGUCGAACGAUGAAGAAGAGAAACGCGAACUUCGGUUCAAAUUUCACUUCGGAUUAGUGGCAGACGGGUGAGUAACGCGUGAGCAACCUACCUCUUACAAAGGGAUAGCCUCGGGAAACCGUGAUUAAUACCAUAUGACACAUUCAUAAGGCAUCUUAAGAAUGUUAAAGCUACGGCGGUAAGAGAUGGGCUCGCGUCCCAUUAGCUAGUUGGUGAGGUAACGGCCCACCAAGGCGACGAUGGGUAACCGGCCUGAGAGGGUGAACGGUCACAUUGGAACUGAGACACGGUCCAAACUCCUACGGGAGGCAGCAGUGGGGAAUAUUGCACAAUGGAGGGAACUCUGAUGCAGCGACGCCGCGUGAGCGAUGAAGGAAUUCGUUUCGUAAAGCUCUGUUCGAUGGGAAGAAAAGGACUGGACCAUAGGAGAAAGCCCCGGCUAAAUACGU
rnacentral:rRNA from 1 species